rnacentral:rRNA from 1 species
AUUGAACGCUGGCGGCAGGCCUAACACAUGCAAGUCGAGCGGAUGAGUGGAGCUUGCUCCAUGAUUCAGCGGCGGACGGGUGAGUAAUGCCUAGGAAUCUGCCUGGUAGUGGGGGACAACGUUUCGAAAGGAACGCUAAUACCGCAUACGUCCUACGGGAGAAAGUGGGGGAUCUUCGGACCUUACGCUAUCAGAUGAGCCUAGGUCGGAUUAGCUAGUAGGUGAGGUAAUGGCUCACCUAGGCGACGAUCCGUAACUGGUCUGAGAGGAUGAUCAGUCACACUAGAACUGAGACACGGUCCAGACUCCUACGGGAGGCAGCAGUGGGGAAGAUUGGACAAUGGGCGAAAGCCUGAUCCAGCCAUGCCACGUGUGUGAAGAAGGUCUUCGGAUCGUAAAGCACUUUAAGUUGGGAGGAAGGGCAGUAAGUUAAUACCUUGCUGUUUUGACGUUACCGACAGAAUAAGCACCGGCUAACUCUGUGCCAGCCGCCGCGGUAAAAC